UUGAGAAAGUUAUAGAGGUUAUAAGAUUGGCUUGAAACCAGUUUUUUGGGGGUUCAAUUCCUUCCUUUCUUAUU
rnacentral:tRNA from 1 species